UACCAGCACCCCGAGUGGUCGGGACGUUUAUUGGGCCUAAAGCGUCCGUAGCCGGUUCUGCAAGUCUUCCGUUAAAUCCACCUGCUUAACAGAUGGGCCGCGGAAGAUACUAUAGAGCUAGGAGGCGGGGGAGGCAAGCGGUACUUAGUGGGUAGGGGUAAAAUCCGUUGAUCCAUUGAAGACCACCAGUGGCGAAGGCGGCUUGCCAGAACGCACUCGACGGUGAGGGAUGAAAGCUGGGGGAGCAAACCGG
rnacentral:rRNA from 1 species